GGUCAAGCUAGGAAGGGCAUACGGUGGAUGCCUUGGCGCACGAGGGCCGAAGAAGGACGUGGCAAGCUGCGAAAAGCUACGGGGAGCCGCAAGCGGGCGUUGAUCCGUAGGUCUCCGAAUGGGGCAACCCGGUCCGUCACGGCAGUGGCGGGUCACCGCACGCUGAACACAUAGGCGUGCGGGGGGCACCCGGCGAACUGAAACAUCUUAGUAGCCGGAGGAAGAGAAAGAAAAAUCGAACCCCUUAGUAGCGGCGAGCGAAGCGGGGCGAGCCCAAACCCGGCACUCGAUAGAGUGCUGGGGGUAGCGGGACUCCCAUAGAGCAAGAGUAGUAGACUUAGCCGAAGCGGUCUGGAAAGGCCCGGCAGAGGAGGUAACACCCCUGUAGGCGAAAAGUCGAGGCUUUUGCGGGAGCACCCAAGUACCACGGGGCACGUGGAAUCCUGUGGGAAUCCGGGAGGACCACCUCCCAAGGCUAAAUACCCUGUGCGACCGAUAGAGGACAAGUACCGUGAGGGAAAGGUGAAAAGCACCCCGGGAGGGGAGUGAAACAGGACCUGAAACCGUAUGCCUACGAGCAGUCAGAGCCCUAUUCGGUAGUCGGUAGUGAGUAGUCAGUAGUCAGAUUAAGAAGGAAUUCGGCUAAAGCCGAAUUCCCACAAGCAAUCCGGCAACAGACUACCGACUACUGACUACCGAAGGGUGAUGGCGUACUUUUUGUAGAACGGACCGGCGAGUUGCUUCUAGCGGGCGAGGUUAAGCGUGGCACACGCGGAGCCGCAGCGAAAGCGAGUCUUAAAAGGGCGGUAUAGUCCGCUGGAGCAGACCCGAAACCGGGUGAUCUACCCAUGUCCAGAGUGAAGCUAAAGUAAAGUUUAGUGGAGGCUCGAACCGACCGUCGUUGAAAAGGCGGCGGAUGAGGUGUGGGUAGGGGUGAAAUGCCAAUCGAACCCGGAAAUAGCUGGUUCUCCCCGAAAUAGCUUUAGGGCUAGCCCUGGUAAUGAAUACCGGAGGUAGAGCACUGAAUGGGCUAGGGGCCUUCACCGGUUACCGAACCCAAUCAAACUCCGAAUGCCGGGUAUUUGGAUACCAGGAGUCAGACUGCGGGUGCUAAGAUUCGUAGUCGAGAGGGAAACAGCCCAGACCGUCAGCUAAGGUCCCCAAGGCAGGCUAAGUGGGGAAGGAUGUGGAGUUGCCCGGACAACCAGGAUGUUGGCUUAGAAGCAGCCAUCAUUUAAAGAGUGCGUAAUAGCUCACUGGUCAAGUGGCUCUGCGCCGAAAAUGUAGCGGGGCUAAAGCCUGCCACCGAAGCUACGGAUUUCAGUAGUCAGUAGUGAGUAGUCAGUAGUCGGAGAGAGAGAAUUGGGAGGAUACAAGAAACUUGAAGUAUAUAAUAGGUCAUAUCAGAUGGCCUUACGAGUACACAAGUUAACCCAAGACUUUCCAUCACAUGAAAGGCAUGAAUUAGGGAGUCAACUUCGAAGAGCAGCAGUAUCAAUAGUACUAAACAUAGCAGAAGGAUAUGGCAGAGUAAAAUCGGAGAAAGAGUUCAUGCACUUUCUUAGAAAUGCAUUAGGUUCAUGCAACGAAACAAGAGUGUUAAUAGACCUCGUUAAAGACUUGGGAUAUAUAGAUAGUCAGAUACACUCUGAACUGAGUCAAGAAUACGAGAUAGUAAGCAAACAAAUAUAUCGACUCAGAGAAGCAUGGACUAAAGAAUAACCGACUACAGACAACUGACCACUGACUACUGAGAUGGUAGGGGAGCGUUCUGUAUGCGGCGAAGCUAUACCGUAAGGAGUAGUGGAGCGUACAGAAGCGAGAAUGCCGGUAUAAGUAAGCGAAAAGGCAGGUGAGAAUCCUGCCCGCCGAAAGCCUAAGGUUUUCUGGGGAAGGGUCGUCCGCCCAGAGUAAGCCGGGGCCUAAGCCGAGGCCGAAAGGCGUAGGUGAUGGAGAAUCGGUUGAUAAUCCGAUGCCACUGGCGGCCGUUUGAAGGAUGGGGUGACACAGGAGGGAAGGCUGAGCGUGCGGUUGGAAAGGCACGUCCAAGGCGGUAGGGUGGAAGGCAGGCAAAACCGUCUUCCGUAGAGCCUGAGAGCCGAAGGGGAGCGAAAAUAAGUAGCGAAGCAGCCCGUGCCCAUACUGUCAAGAAAAACCUCUAACGAGGCUUAGCCGGUGCCCGUACCGCAAACCGACACAGGUAGGCGGGGUGAGAAUCCUAAGGCGCGCGAGAGAACCCUCGUUAAGGAACUCGGCAAAAUGACCCCGUAACUUCGGGAGAAGGGGUGCCCCGUUAGCGUGAAGUACCGAGCGUAUGGAGCGCGAGGGGGCCGCAGAGAAAGGGCCCAAGCGACUGUUUACCAAAAACACAGGUCCCUGCCAAAUCGAAAGAUGACGUAUAGGGGCUGACGCCUGCCCGGUGCUGGAAGGUUAAGGGGAGGGGUUAGCGGCAACGCGAAGCUCUGAACCGAAGCCCCAGUAAACGGCGGCCGUAACUAUAACGGUCCUAAGGUAGCGAAAUUCCUUGUCGGGUAAGUUCCGACCCGCACGAAAGGCGUAACGAUUUGGGCGCUGUCUCGACGAGGGGCUCGGCGAACUUGUAAUACCCGUGAAGAUGCGGGUUACCUGCGACAGGACAGAAAGACCCCGUGGAGCUUUACUGCAACCUGAUAUUGGGUUUUGGUAUUGCAUGUACAGGAUAGGUGGGAGGCUGAGAUACCAGGACGCCAGUUUUGGUGGAGCCGUCGUUGGGAUACCACCCUUGGAGUAUUGAAGCUCUAACACAGCGCCGUGAAACCGGUGCGUGGACAGUGUCAGGCGGGCAGUUUGACUGGGGCGGUCGCCUCCCAAAAGGUAACGGAGGCGCCCAAAGGUUCCCUCAGCGCGGUUGGAAAUCGCGCGUUAGAGUGUAAAGGCAGAAGGGAGCUUGACAGCGAGACAUACAGGUCGAGCUGGGACGAAAGUCGGGCUUAGUGAUCCGGCGGUUUUGAGUGGAAGAGCCGUCGCUCAACGGAUAAAAGCUACCCCGGGGAUAACAGGCUUAUCUCCCCCAAGAGUCCACAUCGACGGGGAGGUUUGGCACCUCGAUGUCGGCUCAUCGCAUCCUGGGGCUGUAGUAGGUCCCAAGGGUUGGGCUGUUCGCCCAUUAAAGCGGUACGUGAGCUGGGUUCAGAACGUCGUGAGACAGUUCGGUCCCUAUCCGUCGCAGGCGCAGGAAACUUGAGAGGAGCUGUCCCUAGUACGAGAGGACCGGGAUGGACAGACCGCUGGUGUACCAGUUGUUCCGCCAGGAGCAGCGCUGGGUAGCCAAGUCUGGACGGGAUAAGCGCUGAAAGCAUCUAAGCGCGAAGCCCCCCUCGAGAUGAGGUUUCCCACAGUGUUAAGCUGGUAAGACCCCUGGCAGACUACCAGGUAGAUAGGCCGGAGGUGUAAGCUGGGCAACCAGUUGAGCUGACCGGUACUAAUAGGUCGAGGGCUUGACCUU
rfam:Pelotomaculum thermopropionicum SI DNA, complete genome.